UACGAAGGGGGCUAGCGUUGUUCGGAAUUACUGGGCGUAAAGCGCGCGCAGGCGGCUAUCCAAGUCAGUGGUGAAAGCCCGGAGCUCAACUCCGGGACUGCCAUUGAAACUGUUUAGCUUGGGGACGAGAGAGGUGAGUGGAAUUCCCAGUGUAGAGGUGAAAUUCGUAGAUAUUGGGAAGAACACCAGUGGCGAAUGCGCCUCACUGGCUCGUUUCUGACGCUCAGGCGCGAUAGCGUGGGGAUCAAACAGG
rnacentral:rRNA from 1 species